rnacentral:rRNA from 1 species
GGGAUUGCCCUAGUAACGGCGAGUGAAGCGGCAAUAGCUCAAAUUUGAAAUCUGGCUCCUUUUAGGGGUCCGAGUUGUAAUUUGCAGAGGGUGCUUUGGCGUCGGUAGCGGUCUAAGUUCCUUGGAACAGGACAUCGCAGAGGGUGAGAAUCCCGUUUGUGGUCGCAUGCCUUCGCCGUGUAAAGCCCCUUCGACGAGUCGAGUUGUUUGGGAAUGCAGCUCUAAAUGGGAGGUAAAUUUCUUCUAAAGCUAAAUACUGGCCAGAGACCGAUAGCGCACAAGUAGAGUGAUCGAAAGAUGAAAAGCACUUUGGAAAGAGAGUCAAACAGCACGUGAAAUUGUUAAAAGGGAAGCGCUUGCAGCCAGACUUGCCCGUAGUUGCUCACCUAGGCUUUUGCCUGGGGCAUUCUUCUGCGGGCAGGCCAGCAUCAGUUUGGGCGGUCGGAUAAAGGUCCCUGUCAUGUAGCUUCCUUCGGGAUGAACUUAUAGGGGGGGCGAAAUGCGACCAGCCCGGACUGAGGUCCGCGCUUCGGCUAGGAUGCUGGCGUAAUGGCUGUAAGCGGCCCGUCUUGAAACACGGACCAAGGAGUCUAACAUCUAUGCGAGUGUUUGGGUGUCAAGCCCGAGCGCGUAAUGAAAGUGAACGGAGGUGGGAACCCUUUGGGUGCACCAUCGACCGAUCCUGAUGUCUUCGGAUGGAUUUGAGUAAGAGCAUAGCUGUUGGGACCCGAAAGAUGGUGAACUAUGCUUGAAUAGGGUGAAGCCAGAGGAAACUCUGGUGGAGGCUCGCAGCGGUUCUGACGUGCAAAUCGAUCGUCAAAUUUGGGCAUAGGGGCG